rnacentral:rRNA from 1 species
CCCUUAGAUGUUCUGGGCCGCACACGCGCUACACUGGCAGGUUCAUCGAGCUUCAUGCCCUGAUCUGAGAAGAACGGGAAAUCUUUGAACACCUGCCGUGCUUGGGAUAGAUGUUUGCAAUUAUUCAUCUUCAACGAGGAUUGCCUUGUAAGCGUACGUCAUCAGCGUGCAUUGAAUACGACCCUGUAUUCUGUACACACCGCCCGUCGCUCCUACCGAUUGAAGUUUUCGGUGAAUUUACUGGAGAUCCCUUUUGAAGGUGGUUCGCCACUGGAAGAAGUAUUCAAAAGUAAAUGAAUCGAAUGCUUUAGAGGAAGGAGAAGUCGUAACA